rnacentral:rRNA from 1 species
CACCGCGGGAAUUCGAUUGGGAAACCGGGGCUAAUACCGGAUGGUUGUUUGAACCGCAUGGUUCAAACAUAAAAGGUGGCUUCGGCUACCACUUACAGAUGGACCCGCGGCGCAUUAGCUAGUUGGUGAGGUAACGGCUCACCAAGGCAACGAUGCGUAGCCGACCUGAGAGGGUGAUCGGCCACACUGGGACUGAGACACGGCCCAGACUCCUACGGGAGGCAGCAGUAGGGAAUCUUCCGCAAUGGACGAAAGUCUGACGGAGCAACGCCGCGUGAGUGAUGAAGGUUUUCGGAUCGUAAAGCUCUGUUGUUAGGGAAGAACAAGUACCGUUCGAAUAGGGCGGUACCUUGACGGUACCUAACCAGAAAGCCACGGCUAACUACGUGCCAGCAGCCGCGGUAAUACGUAGGUGGCAAGCGUUGUCCGGAAUUAUUGGGCGUAAAGGGCUCGCAGGCGGUUUCUUAAGUCUGAUGUGAAAGCCCCCGGCUCAACCGGGGAGGGUCAUUGGAAACUGGGGAACUUGAGUGCAGAAGAG